UACGUAGGUGGCAAGCGUUAUUCGGAAUUACUAGGCGUAAAGGACAGGUAGGUGGUUGGGUAAGUUGAAAGUGAAAUCCCCAGAAAAAUCUGGGAGCGUCUUUCAAAACUACCCGGCUUGAGUGUAGGAGGGGGUAUCGGAAUUCCUGGUGUAGCGGUGAAAUGCGUAGAUAUCAGGAGGAACACCGAUGGCGAAAGCGGAUACCUAUUCUACUACUGACACUGAUCUGUGAAGGCGCGGGGAGC
rnacentral:rRNA from 1 species